UUGCCUCAAGUGGUCAAUAACAAUUUUGGGAUUUUCAGAGCUGACAGCACAGAGGUAAAACAGUAGAAAGAGACCUGUGGAAGGGAGCAAAGUGGAACAGUUGUGAAGUGGUAAAGAAGGAACAUUGAAAAGACAGUGAAAUCAAGUGACUCUCUCAAGAUCACAAAACAAACAAUCAACAGAUUGUUUAACAGAUUCUCUAGUUAAAACCACUUUCUCCUUCUGGUGCUUCACCAUACUUCUCUUGUGGCCCAUUCUUUCACCCUCACACCUCUUAUUGAUCAGCCAUGGGCAAGCACCUCACAUGGAAUAUCAAUUGUGAGAAGAUGAGGCUACAGUGAAAAAGAGGAAAGGGAACAUUACUUCUCAACACAGCAGUCGUUGACAAGUGAAACAAGAUUGCUUAUCCCACAGAAGAACUGCUUCUUUAGCUGAAUUCUGGAAUGAAGAUGACCUAUGGAGCAGACCAAAAGUUGACCACACAGUGACCCAUAACUAACAUAUAACAUGAAUAAGAAAUAAACUUUUGUUUUAACUGUAAUUUGGAGUUUGUUUCCACAGCA